GGGAGGAGGAGGAAAUAUUAAAAUGUUGAAACACAGAAAAAGUUAUUGCUGAUCUCCAUGCAUGUCAGUCGAGGUUACUACCAGAAGGGACUAAAGAUCUCUCAGGGGAAGUAAAACACAUUAAUAAAGACAGUCUUUAAAAGGAAGUGUUCCCCAACCUUUCAGCAGUAAAGCUGUCUGAACAGGGCUAAGAAAAUCCUUCACAUGAAAACAGCUGAGGAGCAGAGGCUCCAGGAGAAGUUUUCCAGUGAUUGAUGGAACGUAACCUUGAAAGUCUACCUCGUCAGUUCUUGAGAUUGGGGUUCUUCAGGCUUCAUCCCGGCUUAUUUCCCUGCUGGAAAUCAGAGAUAGAAACAAAUGAAGCAUCAGGUUGAAAACAGAAGUGCAAAACAGUCACAGGAAACACAACCCAUACAUCACACCAGCAGCCGGAGGAAAGCCCCUGCCCACCAGAGAUGACCAGGCAACAAGCCCUGGCCAGGCAACUCUCACACCUUUCCCAGCUUCGUGGAUAAUUAAGAAACAGUGGUGACCUAGUACCUAGGAACUAAUCAGAACGUAGAGUAAUAACUGUUUUUCCAACCACGGAUCUUGGUAGGAGCUUCUCAGAGGUGAUCCUUGUCACCCGUCAGAAAUGGUUGCCUCUCAUUAUCAAGAAACAGAAGGAGAAACAAAACGACCAGUGAACUCACCAUCCACUCAGGCAUGUGAAAAGCUGAGGUGCCCUCAUUACCGUCCCACUUCUCCAUAGUGCAGGCUUGGAUCUGGUUUCAGGAAGAAACAGGAUGCCAGUGCAGUAGCCCUGUACACUAUCACCUUAAAGGACCUCCGAAGUUGUUUCUGCUUUAUCUCUCCAUACCAACUCCCUCCUUGCUGCACACUUCAGAAUUUUGGAAAUAAGACAUAACUAGAAAAAAGAAUGAAGCACAAGAUGAUGUCAACAAUGACUGCCUGUGGUGAACAGAGGUGAGUAGGGAGAAAGGAAAGAUUUACAUAUCCCUUAUUUUAAACAUGUAAAAUAAAUGCUCUUACUUUAAAAUAAGGUCU
rnacentral:lncRNA from 1 species